AGUCGAGAUUAUUUUGGGAAUAAAAAAGUUCACUAAUUUAUUUUAGUCCAACGUUUAGAGUGAUUUUGGAUGUUUUUUUAUAACCGUUGGCUGAAUUUUCGUGAAAAAGUAUGUGUCGCCACGCGAUGGGAGUACAAUGUGCCAUUAGGAGCCUUGAGGACAACCAUAACAACUGGGUGACUAAACAGAACAGCGGGACAUUAUGAUUUAGAGCAACACACCACCGUUCUAUGAAUCGUUGGGGUUUGCACCAUGCGAUGUAGAAUAAUAUAGUCAAUGAGACAAAAUAA